GUGACAUUGUCAGCAGAGCCCGCCACUCUGUGGAAAUCCGAAUGGCGCUUUCCUGUGGGCCAUCGACGCUCUAAUGAUCACUUGGAGCUCCAGGACAGAUGUCUGCCAUUCCUGGGCUCAGUGGCUUUCGGAAAAGCCUUUUUGUUUUGGUGGCAUCAGCAGGAAAAGAGGAAAUUAGUUGGAAACGAGGCUCCGUUAAAACAAUAGUUGGAGGCGGCCGAGCUUGGAUAAACAGUCCCUGCUGCUGCCCCAGCAUCAGCAGGGGGCCUGGAGCCCCGCUCUUUGUGAUCUGACCUGAUGAGGCCAGCAGCCUGGCGCCCACGAAGGGUCUGCUCAGAAGCAUCAGCUGACGGCCGAGGCAGGGCCGGGCACCGAGCGGCUGCUCCGAGUGCCGAGCCAAUCGGUUUGAGAGAGCCCUCCAGUUCUGGCUGCCUCAGCAACCUGCAGGUCCCAGCUCUUGGGCUGGCCAGCUGCUUGGCUCUGGGCAGUGUGAGCUCAGCACGCCCGGGGCCCCCUACGAGACCCUUCGGUCCCUGCCAGGAAAAAUGGGAAUGAAAUGGGACAAGACCUUCAAAGAGAGAUAAUAUAGACAAUGCUGGGUUAGGAGUCAGAGGUCUUGGGUUCAAACAUCUUCCCAUUCUGAAUCAAUGACCCUUGUAAAGCAGGACCUCCUCUUCUUGAAAGCAGCCUCUCCUCCCACACUCCUUGCUGAAGUGACUGAUCCCUCCUUUCCACCUCAAGUGUUUGGUUUCCAUGGAGACGGGCUGCCUUCCUGCAUCCCUCUGCUUUAGAGACACUCACCACUGAUCUGCAGACAUUCCAUUUCUGCUGUUACUCCCUGCUCUUUCAUCAUGCCCAUUGACCGGAAUUAGCUUGGACCUCGCUGCCCUGCCCAGACCUGCUCAGGAAAACAGGAGGCGAGCAGUGAUACUUGGGCCAUCCAGACUGAAAGGGGCACCCUAAGGGAGGUGUACAUUUUAGGAGGCUUGGGAGUGUGUGUGCUCAUUUUAGGACCUGCCCCUGCUUUGGUCCUGGUGACCCACCUGGAACUAGGUGUGGCAAAGAAGGGCAUUGGCCCUGAUGGGAGGCUGGGAAAGACAAACAUUACUGCUGCCUCCUCUGACCAGGGAGGAAAUAAGCACUAUGGAGUGCCUACUAUGUGCCAGGCAUUGUAUGAAGAGGGAAGGUGAGAGGAGUGAACACAGCUCUUAGGAAAGCUGGAUAGAGGCCUGCCUCAACUUCCCAAAGGUAGCCUGAGAGUGUCCAGAAGGAGUGGGGAAGGGGAUGAUGAGAUGCCUUGGGUUUAGCCUUCAGGAAGCCCCUGAUUCUUCAUCACCUAAACUUUGAGGUUUUGAAAACUGGUCCCCCAUUCCCUUGAGACAGACUUAAUCAAUAAAUAAAAAAACCAUUUACUAAGCA